AUUGAACGCUGGCGGAAUGCUUUACACAUGCAAGUCGAACGGCAGCACGGACUUCGGUCUGGUGGCGAGUGGCGAACGGGUGAGUAAUGUAUCGGAACGCGCCCAGUCGUGGGGGAUAACGUAGUGAAAAUUACGCUAAUACCGCAUACGAUCUAUGGAUGAAAGCGGGGGAUCGCAAGACCUCGCGCGAUUGGAGCGGCCAAUAUCAGAUUAGGUAGUUGGUGGGGUAAAGGCCCACCAAGCCAACGAUCUGUAGCUGGUCUGAGAGGACGACCAGCCACACUGGAACUGAGACACGGUCCAGACUCCUACGGGAGGCAGCAGUGGGGAAUUUUGGACAAUGGGCGAAAGCCUGAUCCAGCCAUUCCGCGUGCAGGAUGAAGGCCCUCGGGUUGUAAACUGCUUUUGUACAGAACGAAAAGGUUUCUACUAAUACUAGGAGCUCAUGACGGUACUGUAAGAAUAAGCACCGGCUAACUACGUGCCAGCCGCCGCAGUAA
rnacentral:rRNA from 1 species